rnacentral:rRNA from 1 species
AGCGAACGCUGGCGGCAGGCCUAACACAUGCAAGUCGAACGGAUCCUUCGGGAUUAGUGGCGGACGGGUGAGUAACACGUGGGAACGUGCCCUUUGGUUCGGAACAACUCAGGGAAACUUGAGAUAAUACCGGAUGUGCCCUUCGGGGGAAAGAUUUAUCGCCAUUGGAGCGGCCCGCGUCUGAUUAGCUAGUUGGUGAGGUAAAGGCUCACCAAGGCGACGAUCAGUAGCUGGUCUGAGAGGAUGAUCAGCCACAUUGGGACUGAGACACGGCCCAAACUCCUACGGGAGGCAGCAGUGGGGAAUCUUGCGCAAUGGGCGAAAGCCUGACGCAGCCAUGCCGCGUGAACGAUGAAGGUCUUAGGAUUGUAAAAUUCUUUCACCGGGGACGAUAAUGACGGUACCCGGAGAAGAAGCCCCGGCUAACUUCGUGCCAGCAGCCGCAGUAAUAC